AAGCUCGUAGUUGAAUUUCGGGAUCAAAUUGUCGGUCGUGCCUCGGUACGUACUGGCGUUAUUGGUUCCUCCCUUCUGAAGAACCGCGAUGUCAUUAAUUUGGUGUCGCGGGGAAUCAGGACUGUUACUUUGAAAAAAUUAGAGUGUUUAAAGCAGGCUCGCGCUUGAAUACAUUAGCAUGGAAUAAUGAAAUAGGACGUUUGAUUCUAUUUUGUUGGUUUCUAGGAUCGACGUAAUGAUUAAUAGGGAUAGUUGGGGGCAUUAGUAUUCAAUUGUCAGAGGUGAAAUUCUUGGAUUUAUUGAAGACUAACUACUGCGAAAGCAUUUGCCAAGGAUGUUUUCAUUAAUCAAGAACGAAAGUUAGGGGAUCGAAGACGAUCAGAUACCGUCGUAGUCUUAACCAUAAACUAUGCCGACUAGGGAUCGGAUGAUGUUAAUUUUUUAAUGACUCAUUCGGCGCCUUACGGGAAACCAAAGUGUUUGGGUUCCGGGGGGAGUAUGGUCGCAAGGCUGAAACUUAGAGGAAUUGACGGAAGGGCACCACCAGGGGUGGAGCCUGCGGCUUAAUUUGACUCAACACGGGGAAACUCACCAGGUCCAGACAUAGUAAGGAUUGACAGAUUGAGAGCUCUUUCUUGAUUCUAUGGGUG
rnacentral:rRNA from 1 species